CCUAGUGUAGCGGUGAAAUGCGUAGAUAUUAGGAAGAACACCGGUGGCGAAGGCGACAAACUGGACGAUAACUGACGUUGAGGCACGAAAGUGUGGGGAGCAAACAGGAUUAGAUACCCUGGUAGUCCACACCGUAAACGAUGGAUACUAGGUGUUGGCAAUGAAUAAUUGUCGGUGCCGGCGCUAACGCAAUAAGUAUCCCACCUGGGGAGUACGACCGCAAGGUUGAAACUCAAAGGAAUUGACGGGGGCCCGCACAAGCAGUGGAGUAUGUGGUUUAAUUCGAAGCUACGCGAAGAACCUUACCAAGGCUUGACAUACAGAGGAAUAAGUAGGAAACUAUUUAGCUCUUCGGAGUCUCUGUACAGGUGGUGCAUGGUUGUCGUCAGCUCGUGUCGUGAGAUGUUAGGUUAAGUCCUGCAACGAGCGCAACCCCUAUUUCUAGUUGCCAGCACGUAAUGGUGGGAACUCUAGAAAGACUGCCGGUGAUAAAUCGGAGGAAGGUGGGGACGACGUCAAAUCAUCAUGCCCUUUAUGUCUUGGGCAACACACGUACUACAAUGGCCGUUACAGAGAGAAGCAAUACAGUGAUGUGGAGCAAAACUCAAAAAGCGGUCUCAGUUCGGACUGUAGGCUGAAAUUCGCCUACACGAAGUCGGAAUUGCUAGUAAUGGCAGGUCAGAAUACUGCCGUGAAUACGUUCCCGGGCCUUGUACACACCGCCCGUCACACCAUGAG
rnacentral:rRNA from 1 species